rnacentral:lncRNA from 1 species
CUGGGACAUGUCUCCAGCAAAAAUUGUAAAAUACUCUACAUGGGAAAUUGGUCUCAGUGCUGGCAGCAUUCUAUAGCCUCUUCCUAGCUCUUCAGGUAUUUGUGUUUCUCCAACUAGAAGAGCCUAAAUUUUACCUCCUACUAAGAUAUUUAUCAAUUGGUGUCAGCAGUCCAGAAACAUACAAAGCAGCAAAACGAAAUUUGAGAUACAGAAAUUUCCACAGGAAUAAAAGUCGGCUGAAUACCUAGAAUGCAUUUUAAAGUAAGCACUUCGAAUUUUCUUGUAUAUUAAAUAGGAGUUAAAAACAUUUUCAGUCUAUUUUGAUCUGUCUAAAAUUUAAGUUUAUAUAGAUAGUUCAUGGCAGGGUUAUGAGAUUUCUUAAUGUCUUAAAAAA